UUUCUUUUUCUUUUCCUCCCUGACACCGCCGAGGUCGCACGCGUGAGGCCUCUCCGCCGCCGCCGCCGCCGCGAUGCGCUACGUCGCCUCCUACCUGCUGGCUGCCCUCGGGGGUAACUCCUCCCCCAGUGCCAAGGACAUCAAGAAGAUCUUGGACAGCGUGGGCAUCGAGGCGGACGACGACCGACUCAACAAGGUUAUUAGUGAGCUGAAUGGAAAAAACAUUGAAGACGUCAUUGCCCCGGGUAUUGGCAAGCUUGCCAGUGUACCUGCUGGUGGGGCUGUGGCCGUCUCCGCUGCCCCAGGCUCUGCAGCGCCUGCUGCUAGUUCCGCGCCUGCUGCAGCAGAGGAGAAGAUAGAUGAGAAGGAGGAGUCUGAAGAGUCAGACGAUGACAUGGGAUUUGGCCUCUUUGAUUAAAUUCCUGCUCCCCUGCAAAUAAAGCCUUUUACACAUAAAAAAAA